rnacentral:rRNA from 1 species
AGUGAACGCUGGCGGUAGGCCUAACACAUGCAAGUCGAACGGCAGCACAGUAAGAGCUUGCUCUUACGGGUGGCGAGUGGCGGACGGGUGAGGAAUACAUCGGAAUCUACUUUUUCGUGGGGGAUAACGUAGGGAAACUUACGCUAAUACCGCAUACGACCUACGGGUGAAAGCAGGUGAUCUUCGGACCUUGCGCGAUUGAAUGAGCCGAUGUCGGAUUAGCUAGUUGGCGGGGUAAAGGCCCACCAAGGCGACGAUCCGUAGCUGGUCUGAGAGGAUGAUCAGCCACACUGGAACUGAGACAAGGUCCAGACUCCUACGGGAGGCAGCAGUGGGGAAUAUUGGACAAUGGGCGCAAGCCUGAUCCAGCCAUACCGCGUGGGUGAAGAAGGCCUUCGGGUUGUAAAGCCCUUUUGUUGGGAAAGAAAAGCAGCAGGUUAAUACCCCGCUGUUCUGACGGUACCCAAAGAAUAAGCACCGGCUAACUUCGUG